AACUCUCUAAUCUCACACAAGCUCUCUAGCAGCUCUCACGUCUCAAGUUCUUAUGCGAGUGCAUUUGUCUAAGGUUGAAGUGUUCCAAAGCUCUCUAAUUAUCUUCCAUUCUUCUUUUUAUCAUUUCUCUAUCAUUUGUGUGUGAGUUAGGAAAGAUCUAGUCUAAAGAGUUGUCGUCAAUUUUUGUAAGUAUGAGUGUUAUGAGAGGUUUGUCUGAAAAUCAAUACUUGUGAGGUUUUACAAGCGUUGAAUCAUAAAAUUCGUUUUGGUUUUAUAAAGUUUCUGUGAAAUCUUUUAG
rnacentral:lncRNA from 1 species